CACGUAGGGCGCAAGCGUUGUCCGGAAUUAUUGGGCGUAAAGAGCUCGUAGGCGGUUUGUCGCGUCUGCUGUGAAAACUGGGGGCUCAACCCCCAGCCUGCAGUGGGUACGGGCAGACUAGAGUGCGGUAGGGGAGAUUGGAAUUCCUGGUGUAGCGGUGGAAUGCGCAGAUAUCAGGAGGAACACCGAUGGCGAAGGCAGAUCUCUGGGCCGUAACUGACGCUGAGGAGCGAAAAGCAUGGGGAGCGAACAGG
rnacentral:rRNA from 1 species